UUUUUUUGUUUUUUUUUUCAAAACACGCAUGCUCUUGCUCACAUCAUUCUGCUAAAACCAGCUCCUAGGGUUUUCAUCUUAGCAACUAGUAUCAUUUUUCUACCUAAUGACCCAAGCUCAAAACUAAUGACUCAUCUUAACAUCUCUCUCCCGACCACCCACAACCAAUCAAGCCACCAACUCCUAUGACCUCCUAAUUUUUUUCCAUAUCUAUCAAGAUGCUUCAUGGAUGCGAGUUAUUUUUUUAAAAGAAGACUAAAAGUAGCUUAAACUUUAAGUGGUUUAGGGACGCUCCGGUAGCUCAGUGGUUGGGCGUCUGCCUUCCGCCCAGGGUGUGAUCUGCAGCUUCGGGAUCAAGUCCCACAUCGGGCUCCCUGCAUGGAGCCUGCUUCUCCCUCUGUCUCUAUCUCUGCCUCUUUCUCUCUGUGUUUCUCAUGAAUAAAUAAAUAAAAUCUUUAAAAAAAACAAAAAACUUUAAGUGGUUUAUUGCCUCACAGUACAGAUUUCCAGAAGUAAGACAAUUCCAGCAAUGGGUAAUUAAAAGAUUCAGUGGUAUUUCCCAGGUAAGUGUUUCUGUCCCCAGAGGAUUGCCUUGUCUCCUUUAGCUGACCCUUCACAGAUCCAAGACGGCUGCCACAACACCUGUAUUUCCAUCCCUCAGUCACAACUAGAAGCAAAAAUGAGGACUUUCUCCUUGCCCAUCUCUAUCUAAGACAAAGAAACUCCUUCCCUGAACCACCCUUUGCCCUUAGCCACCAGCAGAAUUCCAGUUCCUUUUAUCAGCCAGAAUUGUAUCACAUGUCCCCAAUCAAAACACCAGUAAAUGGAAGAGAGUGGCCAUGAUUUAACUUAUCAAAAGUCACCCUCUAAUCGGGGGAGGGUCCUGUGCUAGAGUCAAGUCUAUAGAGAGAGUAAGCACCCAAGCAAAAACAAGUUUCUGUUGGCAAGAGAAGCUGGAGGACAGGCUUGAGUGGCAGCCAAUCAUUGCCACAGUCUUAAAUCCACACCUCCCUCUUCUACUCUGACAUUUCAUAGACCAACCAACGAUUAUCCCUGCAACAGGUUUCUAACCAGGCUCUGCUCCCAGUUUGGUUUCUUCUAAUGCAACAACCAUUCCGCAGCAAAAAUAAGGUUUGCCGAUACAAAUAGAAUUGUAUCUCAUCUUACUUAAAUAUUUCAAUGGCUGUCUAUUAAUAAAGUCCAAAUACUUCAAGCUGGCACAUAAACUCACUCUUAGGCCUAGAGCUCUAUCUGCCUCCCAUUUUAUGCUAGCCCACCUCGCUGGCAGGGCUAGAUCACCCUUUUCUGUCUCAGGAGCUCUCUCCAUCCAUCAUCACUCAGGACCCUGUCCAAGGGUUUGUGUCCAAGCCCCUGAACAGGUAGAGGCCCAAAGUACUAAAUCUUGUUGUCGGGUAUGGGGGGAUAGUGGA
rnacentral:lncRNA from 1 species